ACGAUGUUUUGAAGCCUAUAGAAACUAGAAAGCCAAUAGCCAUAUCUAGAUAUUUGAACAGAACAAUCAACAGUACCUAUUUUAACAGUAUAAUAUUAUUAUAAUAAACUUCUGUUCAUUGUCAGAACACUAGCUUUUAAUUACAUACAUAUAUACAUAUAAACCAUUUUAAUAAUUACAUUGUUAUAGGUAAUUGUAGGUGUAUUGUUUUUAUAUUUUGCUUCUACAAAAACCUAGAAAUUCAAUCCAAAUCAGAUGUCCGGGCUAAUAUUUUGUACUUAAUAUUAUUUUGAUUGUGAUCUACAAAUGUUGUUCAAAGUAAAAUGUGAUGUUGUGAUGUGAUUGGUUAUCACACAUCGGUAAUGUUAGUUUUGAAGAAAUAAUGUACACUCUAGUUUUGUAUUAAUUUGAAAUCAAUCUGAAAUGUUAAACACUACAAAUUUUAUACUUACUUGCCAUAAAUUAAAUACUUAUUGGCUAAUAGCAUAAUUCAACGAAUUAAUUCAUCAGGUUAUAAGUUUAAUAUAUACAUAAAUAUGGAUCAGAAAAAUCACUUUAAAGUUCAAAAUCAGCAUUUGAUUGACCACAAUUAUCACAUUCUGCAUGUUAAAGAAGAAAUAAAAUUUCCAUA